CGCAACAUGAAUGUUGAAUCAACCCGUGUACAAAUAGCGAUUAUUGUUGCUGAAAUUUUACUACGCGCCAAUGCUCAACGGUCAUUUUCCCUAAAGCUUUUGUUUCUUAUGCGGAGAUUGUGCACUGAGAGAUUCGAACGCGCGUCUCUGCGCGUUUCAAGGGUCGCGAUUUUAAAACGUGCAUUUUUAUCGUGCAUCGUACGAUGGCCACGCGUGCGUUGUGUCCGCGCUGACGCGCGAGGGACGUGGCACGAAGCAAAAGAGUAAAAUGGCGACGUUGGAUCCGUCCGCUUAAAAAAAAGACCAGAAAAAUCAUUCCUCGUUCGGCCCCACGAGAAAAAACGCUCGUCCA